GUGAGCUGCUGUGAUAUGCCCGUUCCUCACGUUGUGACCGUUAUAAUGGGCAUGAAGUCAUUCUGAGCAAUGCUCCUUAUAACGAUCUCAAGGCGAUGGGCGCGGCACUGCGACUCUUGGGCGG
rnacentral:precursor_RNA from 8 species